AUGCCAAGCCACAAAUUCGCCUGCCACGAGGGCGUUCUUCACACCCGGAUCAACGAUGUUCAUCAGGAGCUCACCGUCGAGUCGGUUCGCCAGCUGUUUCGUUGCUCCGGUGAUGGACAUGUGAUCUGUGCGUACGAGCGGGUGGUGGACGGGAUGUACGUCGUGGAGGCGUACGUCGAGUUCCGGUCUCGAUGGAGGGCAGCCCGAGCUCGAGAUGCCCUGGAUGGCCAUGCUAUCUACGGUGGCUUCUGCAUCCUUGCCGUCAGACCUUGUCCCGUCGAUCUACACCACCAUCACCAUGCCAGAUGA
rnacentral:rRNA from 1 species